CUCGUCUGCUCGCUCCUGGCCCAGGCUUACCAGUGGUGGCCUGAUUGUGACAGGCUGGAUCUGGCAGCUGGAGGGGCUCAGCAUCCUCUCUGGGGAGGCAGGGAGGCCCUGAGGGAACGGGUGAGUGGAACGUGAGGUGCUCUGGUCACCUCCCCCACUCUUGGGCAGACAAAGCAGGCACCGGCCAUGCGGGCACCAGAGCAAGCUCCUGGAUGCCAGGAUGGGGCUGGCAGCGCCAAGGUGGGCACAGGCACCAGGGGCUGCUUGCCUCUGAGAGUCCAGGGAAGGCUCCUUGUCUCCCAGGCAGGUUUGUGUCAUGGGGACGCUCCCCACGUGACACUCACUGCUGGCAUCGUGUGAAAGGGAGGGGGCACCUGCACUUUGCUUUGUCAGUCUCUGUCUUAUUCCUGUCCUUAAGGCAUCCUGACCUGCUCAUUUGUCCACCUGCCCCGCAGCCAGCCCACUCGCCUGCCUGGAGGGUUUGAAGUAUUCUCUAGGCUCAGGGGGAGAGCUCCUUCUGGCUAGUCUUAGAUCACGGGAGCUGAUAGAACGCCAGAAUGAUCCAGCCCAGCCCCCUCAUAUAGCAGAUGGGAAACAGGUAGGAGAAAAAGCAUCUGUCCCUGGUCCCUCACAGCCUUUUCCUAACAUCGCGGUUAUCACCACCACCACCACCAUCAUCAUCCCCAUCAUCACCAACACCAUCAUCACCCCAUCCCCAUCAUCUCCAUCACCACCAUCAUUUCCAUCAUCACCAUCACCAUCACCACCAUCACCAUCCCCACCAUCAUCACCAUCACCAUUUUCACUGUCAUCAUCAUCAUCACCAUCUUCGCCAUCAUCACCACCAUCACCGUUUUCACCGUCAUCAUCAUCACCAUCACCAUCUUCAUCAUCCCCAUCACCGCCAUCAUCACAACCAUCAUCAUCAUCUUAGCACCCACUCCCACCAUGGGAAAGUGCUGUGGCCCCUUUUCUGUCCUGUCCCUUUGCCUUUUGAAUAGCAGAAGGUCAGAACAGAGCCUGAGGAUUAAUUCCAGAAAAAAACCCUCCUCUUUACCCUUUAGUUUCUGGUUGCCUUCGAAACCUCCUGCCUGUGCCUUUAGAGCAGACCUCUUCAUCUUCCUGAGGUGCGUGUGGGGACCCCAGAGCACAGGGUGAGCUCAGGCCCCUGCUGUGCCCCGGGGACGCUCAGCCACAGAGCACACUGGCUGCAGCUCCGCAUGGGCCCUGCCAGGCUGCACGAGAACCUCUUGACGCAGCGAUUCCCAGGCCAAACCCAGCCACGUUUGUGUUGCGGCUCCACACAGACGGGCCACGACCCUUGUUGUCAGCAAACUCUCUGAGGGUAAGGAGCUGCCACCCGAGGUUCACCUCCAUAGCUGUGCUUCUCCUUCUGCCACACCCAGGAGAGUGGAUUUGCUGUGAGCAGGGGCUGGCCGCUCAUGCUGUUAGGCAGAACAGCUGUGGACUGGUCCCUGUGUCCCCGCCACAUGCCCUGGACAUGAGGUUUGGCUCAUCUCAAGGGUGGACCUACGUCACAGGGCCCGGCUGGCCGACAUGAGGCUGAGUGCCAGCUCCUACUUGCCCCUCCACGUUGACCUGCCCAGUGGGGCCCCUGGGCAGGGAGACCCCGGCCCCAGGCUGACUCUGACACUCCCCGCAAUGUUGGAGCCGCUGGGCGGGCAGACCCCGUCCCCAGGCUGACUCUGACAGCUCCCUGCAAUGUGCCCGUGUCAUGCGGAUUUGGCCUCAGGUAGGUCUCGUCAGGGACACUCUAUCUUCAAAAAAUGCAGCCCACACAGUGGCUGAUUCCAAGGGUCUCAGAGACUCUCCAGAUAGUGCUGAAUGAGGGGGCCAGGGCCCCAGGGUGGCCCAGGGUCCUGUGGGGAGACUCCCUGACCCCAAGAGACUCCCAGUGUGUGGCGUUGUCUGCCCAGCCAGCCUCCCCUACUGCCCAGGUAUAGAGCUGGGCUCCAGCCCGGCCAGUAGGUGCGCUCUAGGGCCCCAGAGGCCACUGGGCCUUGUGCCUGCCCGGGCUCAGACCCUGUGGUUCAGCCAGGAGGAGCAGCCACCUGGGAGCCUUGGGCCCAGAAAUAGGUGGGACAGGCCAGGAUGGCAGGUGGACUUGAAAUUCCACGGCAAGCACGACCGGAAGGAAUACAUCGGGGGCGAUUACACGGUCCUUCUUCCUCCUACCCCAUCAAUACAUUUUUUUUUUCUUUUAAAAAAAGAAAUGUAGUUUCUCUGAAAAUUUAUCCAUGCUGAUUUUUAAAAGUUGGCAGAGGCGUCGUUCUGGCUGUGGAUCGGGGCUUCUGGAACAAGCAGGCCCAGGAGUCUCUGAGGCUUCCCCGGCAGAUUCCCU
rnacentral:lncRNA from 1 species